rnacentral:rRNA from 2 species
UACGUAGGGUGCGAGCGUUAAUCGGAAUUACUGGGCGUAAAGCGUGCGUAGGCGGUUCGUCAAGUCUGAUGUGAAAGCCCCGGGCUCAACCUGGGAACUGCAUUGGAAACUAGCGAGCUUGAGUGUGGCAGAGGGGGGUGGAAUUCCACGUGUAGCAGUGAAAUGCGUAGAGAUGUGGAGGAACACCGAUGGCGAAGGCAGCCCCCUGGGCUAACACUGACGCUCAGGCACGAAAGCGUGGGGAGCAAACAGG